UAAGCAUAUCAAUAAGCGGAGGAAAAGAAACCAACAGGGAUUGCCCUAGUAACGGCGAGUGAAGCGGCAACAGCUCAAAUUUGAAAUCUGGCGUCUUUGGCGUCCGAGUUGUAAUUUGCAGAGGGCGCUUUGGCAUCGGCAGCGGUCCAAGUUCCUUGGAACAGGACGUCACAGAGGGUGAGAAUCCCGUACGUGAUCGCUAGCCUUUACCGUGUAAAGCCCCUUCGACGAGUCGAGUUGUUUGGGAAUGCAGCUCUAAAUGGGAGGUAAAUUUCUUCUAAAGCUAAAUACUGGCCAGAGACCGAUAGCGCACAAGUAGAGUGAUCGAAAGAUGAAAAGCACUUUGGAAAGAGAGUUAAAAAGCACGUGAAAUUGUUGAAAGGGAAGCGCUUGCAGCCAGACUUGCCUGUAGUUGCUCAUCCGGGUUUCUACCCGGUGCACUCUUCUAUAGGCAGGCCAGCAUCAGUUUGGGCGGUUGGAUAAAGGUCUCUGUCAUGUACCUCUCUUCGGGGAGAACUUAUAGGGGAGACGACAUGCAACCAGCCCGGACUGAGGUCCGCGCAUCUGCUAGGAUGCUGGCGUAAUGGCUGUAAGCGGCCCGUCUUGAAACACGGACCAAGGAGUCUAACAUCUAUGCGAGUGUUUGGGUGUCAAGCCCGAACGCGUAAUGAAAGUGAACGGAGGUGGGAACCUUUCGGGGUGCACCAUCGACCGAUCCUGAUGUCUUCGGAUGGAUUUGAGUAAGAGCAUAGCUGUUGGGACCCGAAAGAUGGUGAACUAUGCUUGAAUAGGGUGAAGCCAGAGGAAACUCUGGUGGAGGCUCGCAGCGGUUCUGACGUGCAAAUCGAUCGUCAAAUUUGGGCAUAGGGGCGAAAGACUAAUCGAACUAUCUAGUAGCUGGUUCCUGCCGAA
rnacentral:rRNA from 1 species